GUUUAGGGUUUGGUGGCCUAGAUCCCAGGCCCUGGUGGCCUGACUUUGACCCGGUUUGUGAUAUUGAGUUCCAAGACCUCUUGACAACCUCGGCACGAGUUUCUGCCUCUCCUCAGGCCAUCUAGUGACCCGAGGAUUGAGUGGAAAAUGGCUCUGAGCUACGUUUUCCUGCUGCUGACCUCACAGGGACCAGCUGAUCACAGGGCUGGGUAGCAAGGCAGGUGUGCUCCAUUUGAGGCUGGAAUUGAGUGGAGAGACACACGCACCAGAGAUCCUUCUUUCUGCUGGUCCCACUUAUCGUCCUGGAGUCCACCGAAUUCCAACAGCUCCAUUCUAACAUGUUGAGGCAAGCUGGCUGGAGGCUGCGAGUCCCCCAGAUCCUUGUCUCCAGAGCAGGGCCCACUGGAGUCAGCCAGGGUGUGGCCCACGAGGGCUGGCAGGUUGGUUACCCCUCUCAACAGACAAGACCACAGACAGAUGCUACAUUUGAAGCCAGUCUUUACCUCAUCCCUUAAAGGAGUUGAUUAU
rnacentral:lncRNA from 1 species